UACGAAGGGGGCUAGCGUAGCUCGGAAUUACUGGGCGUAAAGCGCACGUAGGCGGGUUCUUAAGUCGGUGGUGAAAUCCUGGAGCUCAACUCCAGAACUGCCUUCGAUACUGGGAAUCUUGAGUCCGGGAGAGGUGAGUGGAACUGCGAGUGUAGAGGUGAAAUCCGUAGAUAUUCGCAAGAACACCAGUGGCGAAGGCGGCUCACUGGCCCAUAACUGACGCUGAGGCACGAAAGCGUGGGGAGCAAACAGG
rnacentral:rRNA from 1 species